rnacentral:rRNA from 1 species
GACGAACGCUGGCGGCGUGCUUAACACAUGCAAGUCGAACGGAAAGGCCCUGCUUUUGUGGGGUGCUCGAGUGGCGAACGGGUGAGUAACACGUGAGUAACCUGCCCUUGACUUUGGGAUAACUUCAGGAAACUGGGGCUAAUACCGGAUAGGAGCUCCUGCUGCAUGGUGGGGGUUGGAAAGUUUCGGCGGUUGGGGAUGGACUCGCGGCUUAUCAGCUUGUUGGUGAGGUAGUGGCUUACCAAGGCUUUGACGGGUAGCCGGCCUGAGAGGGUGACCGGCCACAUUGGGACUGAGAUACGGCCCAGACUCCUACGGGAGGCAACAGUGGGGAAUCUUGCACAAUGGGCGGGAGCCUGAUGCAGCGACGCCGCGUGCGGAAUGACGGCCUUCGGGUUGUAAACCGCUUUCGCCUGUGACGAAGCGUGAGUGACGGUAAUGAGUAAAGAAGCACCGGCUAACUACGUG